CUCAUGGCCUUUAUGACCAGGGCUACACACGUACUACAAUGGCCGGUACAAAGGGCAGCGACACAGCGAUGUGAAGCGAAUCCCGAAAAAGCCGGUCUCAGUCCGGAUUGGAGUCUGCAACUCGACUCCAUGAAGUUGGAAUCGCUAGUAAUCGCGGAUCAGCACGCCGCGGUGAAUACGUUCCCGGGCCUU
rnacentral:rRNA from 1 species